rnacentral:lncRNA from 1 species
GUGAGCAUGACGUGGGAUUUUUCAUCUGGAUGGAGUUAUAAGAAGCUAAGUUUGAUGAAUGACUUCCAGAUAUACUGGCAGCCCUAGGAUGCAUCACGGCCCUUGGGAUGGUGGUGUUCUUCCCACUCCAGAUGUUUGAUGUGUCGUCUUCUUCCAGAACCCUGAGAGCCUUCCGCCAAUCCCCACACCUCCAUUCUUUCUGCUGGACUUCUCAGAGGUCAUCCCAUACAUGGCGCUCUGCCACAGCUUCCCAGAAACAGAUCAGCAAACCCUCACCAGCGAGAAGGAAGCUAUCCACAACCCAGGAAGAGAGCUCUCACCAAGAACCGAAUCUGCUAGCACUUUGGACUUCCCAGCCUUCAGAACGAUUGUCGCUGAGCUACCAUCUGUGCCAAUCUUCUGCUAUUUUAUAUGUGGGAUGUUGCCACAGCAUGGCCUGAUGAGUGGUGUGUAGGUCUGCACCUGGGAUCCAAACCCACGAACGCCUGGCCGCCGAAGUGGAGUAUGCAAACUUAACCAGUAUGCCGCCAGGAAAAGAGCCUACGUGAGAAGCGAGCUAUGGGAUGCAGGCACUGUGGCCCCAAAGAUGGAGGAACAGUGUGGGAACAAGGCCUGGGAGCUGCUGCACAGUUCCUCCCAAGGCGAUCAGAGCGUCUGGAACAGCCUCAUCCUCUCCCAGGAAGGCUGCUGCUUGGCACUGAUGUUAUAUUUCAGGGCCUGCCCGGGACCGACUCACUCAACACAGCAAAGAAGAAUAAAACAG